ACAAGUCUAUCGUUGAGAUAUCUACAAUAAUGUGUGAUUCUACAAGUCUAUCGUUGAGAUAUCUACAAUAAUGUGUGAUUCUACAAGUCUAUCGUUGAGAUAUCUACAAUAAUGUGUGAUUCUACAAGUCUAUCGUUGAGAUAUCUACAAUAAUGUGUGAUUCUACAAGUCUAUCGUUGAGAUAUCUACAAUAAUGUGUGAUUCUACAAGUCUAUCGUUGAGAUAUCUACAAUAAUGUGUGAUUUUACAAGUCUAUUGUUGAGAUAUCUACAAUAAUGUGUGAUUCUACAAGUCUAUCGUUGAGAUAUCUACAAUAAUGUGUGAUUCUACAAGUCUAUCGUUGAGAUAUCUACAAUAAUGUGUGAUUCUACAAGUCUAUCGUUGAGAUAUCUACAAUAAUGUGUGAUUCUACAAGUCUAUCUUUGAGAUAUCUACAAUAAUGUGUGAUUCUACAAGUCUAUCGUUGAGAUAUCUACAAUAAUGUGUGAUUCUACAGGUCUAUCUUUGAGAUAUCUACAAUAAUGUGUGAUUCUACAAGUCUAUCGUUGAGAUAUCUACAAUAAUGUGUGAUUCUACAAGUCUAUCGUUGAGAUAUCUACAAUAAUGUGUGAUUCUACAAGUCUAUCGUUGAGAUAUCUACAAUAAUGUGUGAUUCUACAAGUCUAUCGUUGAGAUAUCUACAAUAAUGUGUGAUUCUACAAGUCUAUCGUUGAGAUAUCUACAAUAAUGUGUGAUUCUACAAGUCUAUCGUUGAGAUAUCUACAAUAAUGUGUGAUUCUACAAGUCUAUCUUUGAGAUAUCUACAAUAAUGUGUGAUUCUACAAGUCUAUCUUUGAGAUAUCUACAAUAAUGUGUGAUUCUACAAGUCUAUCGUUGAGAUAUCUACAAUAAUGUGUGAUUCUACAAGUCUAUCUUUGAGAUAUCUACAAUAAU